GCCCCCAUAGCUCAGGGGAUAGAGCACCGCUCUCCGGAGGCGGGUGCGUAGGUUCGAAUCCUACUGGGGGCG
rnacentral:tRNA from 1 species